CAUUAAUAACUUCCUUCUCUGCCCCUGACAUCGUUGUGACAGUGGACUGUGAUACAUUUACACGUUACCUGUUGUCUGCAAGUCAAGGAUUAAAUUAGAUAGGGGAGAUGACUGGAGACACCGCAUCACACGUACUUAUGUAUUAGACUGCAGUUGCCUAACUUAGAUGACAUGAGAUUCUCCACAGUUUGGGAUAUUGGCCCGAUUCCUUGCCUUGUAACAAGCUACAGUGUUAAAAGUUGAUAAAGUUCAGAGGCAUAUUUUGGCUGCCUCGUGUCGCUGUGUGAGGGAUGUCGCUAAAGACCGAAGCCCCAAAGAGUUUUUUUUUUUUUAAAUGUUGUACAUGUAUAACAGGAAAUAAAAGAAAAAAAAAAGAUUAAACACAACCAGACAUUUUGUUCUCUUGUUCUUAUAAUCUGAUCCUUUUUUUCAGCGCUUAUCUUUCAUUGAAUCAUAAAGAAGUCUAAAAGAGCAAAGAUUUAUUUUUUGUUUUCUGUUUUCAGGUGGACUGAUAGAGAAGUGUAAACCGAGAAAAGGGAAUCGUAAAUUUAUCGACAAGAACAAAGUAGUCUAGAAACAAGUAGACACGUCAGUACUGAGAGCAACAGACCGUGAAAUAUGAAAGAGCACGAGACAGUCUCCAAGAUUGUUCUACUGGAAAUCGAUUUAGAAAAUCCAUAUCUUAAAUUGAAGUCGUCAAACUUGUUGGGUUGAUCCUGAUUGGAUGGAGAUGUUCUGUUUAUUUAAUUUUUUUUUUCUUAAAUUUAAGCGUCACCCUACUAAGAAGAUGGAGCGUAUGAUUAGUUUUCAAGCACGGAGAGCAGUAAUACCAUCCUAAGAAUCAGCAAGAUAUUUUAUUUAGAAAUAUGUUUUGUUUUAUAAAUUCUACUUUCCAAAAUAAACAGAUUCGAAUGUUACUUUUUUUUAUGUUGAAUAAAGUUAUUUAUAUUUAAA